rnacentral:rRNA from 1 species
UCUGGGUUGGGAUGAGUGGCGAACGGGUGAGUAACACGUGAGUAACCUGCCCUCUUCUUUGGGAUAACGGUCGGAAACGGCUGCUAAUACCGGGUAUUCACUGUCCUUCGCAUGGGGGGUGGGUGGAAAGGUUUUUUCUUGGUGGGGGAUGGGCUCGCGGCCUAUCAGCUUGUUGGUGGGGUGAUGGCUUACCAAGGCUUUGACGGGUAACCGGCCUGAGAGGGUGACCGGUCACAUUGGGACUGAGAUACGGCCCAG